AUGGUCCCAUCAGAAGGUGAUAAGUUGAAAAAAGACCUGUGGCAAUCCUCUGUCAGUGAUCUAUGGAAGGAUGAUAGAAAAGAAAAUAGUCUGUUGAUGGAAAUGAGCAACAUCACUUCCCAUGAAAUUGGACAGACAGGCAGACUCUUUUAUAAGACCUCCAGUAAAAUUUCUCCUCCCAGUAGCCACAGCUAUCUGGAUCUUAGUACCAAGCUAGAAAAAGACUUGUCUGAGACACAACUGCUUGGAAAGGAAUCUGAGAGUAAUACACCACCAAAAGAGUUGGCUGACAGUUUAGUUGAUGCUGCAGAAGCUAACAGUAAUGACAGUUUGUCCACUGGCAAAGAAACUAAUUUGAUUUCUACACUAAAUAUAACUCUACCUCCUGUUGCACAAAAAUCAAGAGAAUCUCAUCACAAUGAAUGUCCUCCUCGUACUGCCAAUAAAAUUUCAAGCAGGAACAAGGCUCAGGAUAAUCUGUCUGGAAAAGAAUCAAUUGGUGCUUCUGGAACAAUGGGGGAACAAGUUGCUGAAAUCAUACUUCAUGAAGACAAAUUCAAGUCUUCAGUAAGUUCCAGGACUUUUGAUAACUUUAAUCUGACAAGCAAAAUUUCCCAAAAGAACACGAAGUCUUUAUCAGGAAGUACGGAGGAUAUGGUCACUGGUUUAGAAAAUGAACACAAAGACACAACGAAUUGUAAUAAUUGGAGUAUAAAAGACCAGUGUACAGUUGCCAGUACUUCCUGUAUUUUAUCAAGGAGCCCAUGUGUAGAUGAUGUUCUCCUAAACAGUUACUCUUUUAAUGUUGAUGUUGAUAAGAAGAUUGAAGAAAAUGUUAAUUUGGAAGGAGAAGCUUCUGCUGCCUAUAACAGUAAAAAGGCAAUAAUCUUUCCAGAAGCACACUUGCCUUUAGCAUGUGGAUGUCUUCUUCACGAAGAUGACUGGGGCAACAGAGGUGUAGAUCUGCAUGGGACAAAUGACAUUUCCACAGCAAAAAACAUGUUUUGUUCAGCUUAUACUGCAGAGAAGUCUAUUGCUACCUUGGUAAGAGAUGAGAUUUCAAAUAAGAAUAUGGAGGUUGUGAAACAACUUGAUCUCCGUAAAGUAACAGAUGGA
rnacentral:lncRNA from 1 species